rnacentral:lncRNA from 1 species
AAACAUUCUGCUGCAAUCACAACAAAACCAGCAAUUUGGAAGCUUGAGUAUUUCCACAUGAUUUAUUGGGCGGUUAUCGCCUUUUCUGCUAGAUUUUGAGAUGGUUCCAUGGCAUUGGAGAUAAUUACACAGCAGCACGUUCUGGAUCAGAUUGUGCCAAAAUUGUGCAUAAGACAACUUAGUUAUGCCAUGUUUGCCUAAGCUUGAUAUUGUUUUUUUUUUGAAGCUUGAUAUUGAAUUGUUCUAGAUUUGCUGGUUUAAAUGUGAGGUGCACUUGAGGACAAUUAAGAAGAGGCUAAACCUGUCUGAAACAUGUAAUGAGUAGAUAAAUGGUUAAGAAUUUGAUAAAAUUGUCGAACCAACAAAAAUUGAAGUGCAGUAAUUAAGAUGACCUAAGUGAAAAAGUCAUUGCUGUGUUUGAGCAACUUUCAGUUUCCUUUUAUUUGAUUUACAUUUUAAGUAAAUCUAGAAUAUUUGUACUGCAUUUCUAUGAGGUACCAAGCCAUGAUUUCUUCUUGUGAUAGGCGGCUAGCUCUUUUCUUGGAAAGGCAAGUAUAGUCGGUCUAGAGAAAGCAGUAGAAGUAUUAGAUACACUUGGGAGCAGCAUGACAAACUUGAAUUCCGGGGGGUUUAUGACAGGAACGGCAUCAAGAGGGAAUAAAGUAUCUAUUCUAGCAUUCGAGGUAGCUAAUACAAUCACAAAAGGUGCAAAUUUAUUGCAAUCUCUUUCCAAAGAAAAUGUUCAGUAUUUAAAGAAGGAAAUUCUACCUAGGGUUUAUGACAGGAACGACGUCAAGAGGGAAUAAAGUAUCUAUUCUAGCAUUCGAGGUAGCGAAUACCAUCACCAAAGGUGCAAAUUUAUUGCAAUCUCUUUCCCAAGAAAAUGUUCAGUAUUUAAAGAAGGAAAUUCUACCUUCAAAAGGAGUGCAACAGUUGGUUUCUACUAAUAUGACGGAGCUGCUUACUAUUGCUGCUGCCGACAAAAGGUUAGCAUUUUGAACAUCCACUCCCUACCCCGACACGUACUAAAAGUAAAGUGAAAUGAAACUGGACAAACCGAGGCAUGUGUGGUAUUGUCAUGCAUCAGGGAG